AUUGAACGCUGGCGGCAGGCCUAACACAUGCAAGUCGAACGGUAACAGGAAGAAGCUUGCUUCUUUGCUGACGAGUGGCGGACGGGUGAGUAAUGUCUGGGAAACUGCCUGAUGGAGGGGGAUAACUACUGGAAACGGUAGCUAAUACCGCAUAACGUCGCAAGACCAAAAAGGGGGACCUUCGGGCCUCUUGCCAUCGGAUGUGCCCAGAUGGGAUUAGCUAGUAGGUGGGGUAACGGCUCACCUAGGCGACGAUCCCUAGCUGGUCUGAGAGGAUGACCAGCCACACUGGAACUGAGACACGGUCCAGACUCCUACGGGAGGCAGCAGUGGGGAAUAUUGCACAAUGGGCGCAAGCCUGAUGCAGCCAUGCCGCGUGUAUGAAGAAGGCCUUCGGGUUGUAAAGUACUUUCAGCGGGGAGGAAGGGAGUAAAGUUAAUACCUUUGCUCAUUGACGUUACCCGCAGAAGAAGCACCGGCUAACUCCGUGCCAGCAGCCGCGGUAAUACGGAGGGUGCAAGCGUUAAUCGGAAUUACUGGGCGUAAAGCGCACGCAGGCGGUUUGUUAAGUCAGAUGUGAAAUCCCCGGGCUCAACCUGGGAACUGCAUCUGAUACUGGCAAGCUUGAGUCUCGUAGAGGGGGGUAGAAUUCCAGGUGUAGCGGUGAAAUGCGUAGAGAUCUGGAGGAAUACCGGUGGCGAAGGCGGCCCCCUGGACGAAGACUG
rnacentral:rRNA from 1 species